ensembl:ribozyme RNase_MRP RNase MRP
GGUCGUGCUGAAGGCCUGUAUCCUAGGCUACAAACGGGGGAUCUAUGUUCCUCUCUUCCUGCCUAGGGGAAAGUCCCCGGACCGCGGGCAGAGAGUGCCACGUGCAUAAGCACGUAGACUAUUCCCCAUUUUCCACUGUAAAGUCCGCUAAGAAGCGUGUCCCGCUGAGCGGCGUGGUGCGGGGGUCGUCGUCCGUCAGCUCUUCUAGUUACGCAGGCGGUGCGUCUGGGCGCACUAACCACACGGGGCUCAUUCUCAGCGCGGC